UACACGAGAGGGUAAACCUAUGAUCACAACCAGAGUCUCAGGAGGUGGGGCCUGGAGAGACAAGUGGCGUGUGCUAGUCGUCUCCGUCGCCGUUCCUUCUACUGCUGCUGCUGUUCCUCCUCUGGGAACUUCCAGGGACUCUACCGCGACUCCCACACGCACUAGGGGGAGCGGAACCGGAGGGACACCCUCUACCGGUGGUUGUUCGUUCGAUUACUGUGGAUGCCUCUCUAGUCGAAGAGGUUGGAGAGGCCGAAGUUCAUAAAUCAAAAGUAAUUGCGACAGUGACGGCGGAUAAGGCACCAGAGGUAGGACUACAGUAGGAAGUUCAGGGAGCGAGCGAUACUAACCGAGUAAAAGGAGGACCUAGUCCGCCGCCGCAUGGACGACCACUGUAGCACGAGCCGCCGCCGCCUCGACCACAUGGACCGCUACCUCCCGCUGGCCCUCCACAGCACCCCGCUCCACACGAGGAUGAAGCCAGCCAAGACGCCGUCCCGGUGGCACAGGCACCGCGACGUCCGGCGGCGCGACGAGACGAAGCAGCGCGAGAGGGAGCAGAGGCGGAAGGCCCAGAAGGCGCUCAAGCUGCGGGGACCACGAGUACAACUAACGAGCCCCCUGAGACUGAGGUUCGUCCUUCCAUGUUCCCACGUGCUGAACAGAGGGUUUGAUACGUGAUAUGCUUCUUCUUUUUAUGUACUUAGAGGGAAGGGGCCGUCACUUUUGCAGUGGCCCGGUGUGUCUCUGACUUGGCUUUGAGUAGCUUCCACCUGAUAACUCGCCAUCGUUGUACGUUUUGAGCAUAGGUCGGUUCGCG
rnacentral:rRNA from 1 species